UAGCCUGGUGGUUAAGGCUAUGGAUCGCCAAUCCGGAGACGACGGGUUCAAUUCCCGU
rnacentral:tRNA from 1 species